rnacentral:lncRNA from 1 species
UUGAACAAGAAAGAAGUUAUGAGAUAGUUGCAAUUUUGUAGACUCACUCUCCCACAUUUUAAAUGUUAGUAAUUGAUAAAAGAAAUGGACUUUCGGCUUAACUCAACCUCAAAAGAUAGCUCAUGAGGGGAGGAUUGUCCAAGAUCAUAUAAGGAGACUAAGGACCUUUUAACCCACUGAUGUGAGACUCCAACACCCCCCACACCCCAGGGCCGGACAUCUGAAGCGUGGGCAAUAUAAGAUGGGGGACCCAACAUCGGAAACAAUGAACUGGGUGGGCUAGGUCCAUCCCCGUUUUGGGCUCCCGAUCCACGCGCCAGUGUCAAUUGAGCUUGGGCGUGAAGGGGUGUUAGAGUGGGUAAAAAGUCCACAUUGAUUGGGGAAUGGACUAGUAGUUUGCUUAUAUGAAUUUGGGCAAUCCUCACCUCUUGAACUAGCUUUUGAGGUUG